UACGUAGGGGGCAAGCGUUGUCCGGAUUUAUUGGGCGUAAAGAGCGUGUAGGCGGCUGGGUAGGUCCGUUGUGAAAACUCGAGGCUCAACCUCGAGACGCCGAUGGAAACCCUCCAGCUAGAGUCCGGAAGAGGAGAGUGGAAUUCCUGGUGUAGCGGCGAAAUGCGCAGAUAUCAGGAAGAACACCCGUGGCUAAGGCGGCUCUCUAGUACGGUACUGACGCUGAGACGCGAAAGCGUGGGGAGCGAACAGG
rnacentral:rRNA from 1 species